AAAAAGGACGAAACCGGUCUCGGGUUGUCUCUUGUCCUCUCCCUCGCUCACGAAUGAAUGAAAAUUCAUUCCCUUGCCUCCUCUACUUGCUCUCGAUCACGCCGUUUCAACAACGGCACACGGAGAAUGUGGAUUGCACAAAGUGGUGCCGCGAUCUCGCCGGAUUGCAGCACCGCGGGGUGUCUUUGACCCUAAACGCCUAAACGCGCCUAAACCCUAAACCCUAAACCCUAAACCCUAAACCCUAAACCCUAAACCCUAAACCCUAAAACCCUAAAACCCUAAACCUAAACCCUAAACCCCUAAACCUAAACCCUAAACCCUAAACCCUAAACCCUAAACCCUAAACCCUAAACCCUAAACCCUAAACCCUAAACCCUAAAACCCUAAACCCUAAACCCUAAAGCCUCACCAAAAUCCACCAUGGGAGAAGCCUUUGCAACAACAACAGCCAUUGCAAAGGCCGCUCCCCUCUCCUCUCUCCUCCACCGUCGGAUCGCACAAAUCCAACGGCUCAAACGCUCAGCCUUUGAGUUGCCAGAAAUUUCUAAGUCCUAGCACUUGGUUUUUGGCAAUGGUAGAGGAAGCUACGGGAGCAUGGCCGCUGCGUCUUGAGCACGCCACGGCCCAGGCCACCACAGCCAGCUGCUCCAGCAGCAACAGCCGCUGACGCAGGCAGCGCCAGCCAUCGCAGCAGCCCGCGGCUUGCGAACACCAACAGCUGCCGCGGCUGCUGCGCCAGCCAGCCAGCCAGCUGUGCCACGGCCGGCCUCCAGCGACCGCCACAGUGAGCACUUGGGCCAGCACUCGCCGCCCAAAGCGCCAGCUCUGUGGCUCGUCGUGGCCCAGCCCGUCAGCACCGCGUCCCGGCCAGCCGCUGCCCAGCAGCACCACCAGCGCUGCCCAGCAGUGCUCCACUGCGCCAAGCACGACCGCACGCUGCUCAGGGCCGCCACGUGCUGCCCAGAGCCGCUGCGUGCUGCCUAGUGCCGCCCCGUGCUGCCCAGUGCUGCUCACGUGUGCCCAGCACCGCCCAGCGAUGUGCUGUACUGCCAGCGACGCGCGGUACUGCACAGUGACGUGCGGCACUGCCCAGCGACGCGCGGUACUGCACAGUGACGCACGGCACUGCCCAGCGACACGCAGUACUUCCAGAGACACGCGGUACAGUCCAGUGCCGCCCAGCGGCUCCAGGCCGGGCAUUUACGUAGGCCCCUAUGCGCUGCACCUCACUGCCAAGACGCCACAAAAAUCCCUGCCUGGAGCCACUAAGAGUCUUGGAGCUAGCUUGGCAUCUCCACACAACAGCUUUUCUGGCACCUGGUGCGGCCCAGCUCCCCCGACUCAGGUCCAGCAUAGCAAAUGCCCCACAAAGGCUUUUUGGCCCCCCUCGGCUGCUGCUUCGGCACCACCAAGGGAUUUCCAAAAAUGCUAAGGGGACUGCUCCCUGCUGUUGAGAGCACCCGUGCCACCCAGACAUCACCACAAAGCUGCUGUGAUCUCUGGCACGAUGCCCCUCACUCCCCUCGCACGGGUCUGGCACAGCAUGUCUCCAGGCUGGGCAUUCACACUGGCCUCUGCGUGCUGCGUUCUGCCACCAGAGCGCCACAAAAGAUCCCCACCUGGAGCUGCUCACGGCCACUAAGAGUUUGGGAGCUAGCUUGACAUCUCCACUCUGCAGUCUUUUCGACGUCUAGCGCAGCCCAGCUCCCCUGACCUGGGUAUGGCACAGCAAAUCCCUCACAAAGGCUUUUUGCGCCCCUUUGGUAUGUUGCCUUGGCACCACCAAAGGAUCACCAAAGAUGCCAAUGGGAAUGCUCCUUGCCACUCAGAGCACCCAAGCUGCCUAGACAUUGCCACAACGCUGCCAAAAAUCCAAUCUGCCAUGGAUCCCCUGCAAUCACUAGUGCUAGCACUGGCCCUGCAACUGCAGAGCCAAGCACUAUGCCGAUGGCACGGGCUCUCUCACCACCCCUGGUGCCAGAUCCCUUGCAAUCGCCACCCAGGCCAGCCCCUGCCACUGGAACAGAGCAGCGAGCCCUCUCGCCUUAACGCUCUCCAGGACCUGGCCCAGCGCAGCAGCCACCGUCACCUCUGCACCUGGCUCUGCUCUGCGUGUCCAUGGCACCACGCUCAACACUGUCCCCACAGACUCGACGAGUGCCUCGACACAACCAACAAAUCGCCCUUCCAUCUACGGAGGUACACAGAUGACGGAGUGAGCACUUGGACAGGUACACGAGCAGGCCUUGAACGAUGGCUCCGAGGAUAUGGCACGCUUCGUCCCUCGAUCAAGAUCACCUCGGUGAUCCUGCUCGAGGAGUUGGAUAUCCUCGAUAUCCACUUCUUCAAAGGCCCUCACUUUGAAGAGACACGCUGCCUCGACUCGUCCACGUUCCAGAAGCCCCUCAACGCCUACCAGUACCUCCCCUGGACGUCGGUUCACCCAUGGCACCAGAAAGUGGCAUUUAUCCGCAGCGAGCUCCGGAGAUACCUCCUCCUUGAGAGCACGGCCCAUGGAUUCCAUGCCAUGCGCAUGCGGUUCUACCACCGCCUCUGUGUCCGGGGACACCCGAUCUCCUUCCUCCAACACUGCCUCUCUAGCAUCUCCUCUGACCAGCGACAUGAAGCUCUCCUUGCACGCUCGCGCCGCUCUAGCGACGCUUGUCGACGGACCCCCCUCGCCUUUAAGCUCCCCUACACGCUUCACAGCACGCAGCUAGGCUUGGGGGACAUCCUAAACCCUAAACAGGUGAUGGAUGAAGCUCCCGCAGACACACUCCCCUGAGUGAUCACGUGCUGGAGAUGCCUCCCGAAUCCCGGUUCGUUCCUGGUCAGGGCUAAACUCGCUUUGCGAGCUUAGCCACAUCUUUUACUACGCUUUGCAAGAGACGGAAGCAUAUGAUUGCAUCCUUCUCUGCGUAACCGAUGACCUUCAAGGUCUGGCCGAUGGACUCUAGGUAUGUCCCAGUCACCUCUGGUCGUCCCCCACCGGUCAACGCCCGGUCAACGCGCAGUCUACUGUCCAAACAGGAAUAUUCCCGAAUAUUCCCUGACAGUCAGAUUGUUGACCGAGUCAACGAGGCCUACACCAUUCGAUUCUGCACCCCUUUCCAAGUUUGACUACGUUGGUCUCAUCUCCUUACGAUGGAUACCACACCUUGGAAAGCUUGCGAAUCUCAUAAUGAUGCCAUGCGACGACGUCGACGUCACACACGCCGACACCUCGCAGGAAAAGGACCUUUCUGCAUGACCAAAAGACCUCGGGUACGUACCAGUCACUCCAGGCCACCUCCCUUUCGAGUCAACGCCCGGUCAACGCGGAGUCAACGGUCAGAACGGAAUAUUCCCCAAUAUUCCGACUGUAUCCCUGUUGACCGAGUCAAAACGGCAUAUACCGUUGGAUUCCGCUCUUCCUUCCGAUCGUGAAUAUGUGAGUUUCAACUCUGAACUCCUCACACGAUUCGUUGAAAAGCGUGUAUUCCGUUAAAACGGUACCGCUCCUUCGACAUCGGCGAUGCACGCCGACAACUCGCGGGAUGGCUCUCCCCUGCACCACCGCUGGACUUCGGGUAUGUAUGAGUGACCUCAGGCCCUCCACCAUCCCAGUCCACACACGGUCAACGCGGGGUCAACGGUCAACGACGGAAUAUUCCCAGAAUAUUCCCUGCAAAGUGGACCACGUUUUUCGCCGCCGGGUAUGUACGAGUGACACAAGCAUUGUGGACGUAACGCAUGCAUCAUAUCAUGCCGCGUUUACAAGUUAUCUUGUGUCAAAGGUAUGUCACCCGCCGGCCAAACGCUUACUGUCUUCGGCAAUUAGCCGAAGUCAUUCUCCGCGACUACCACUGCUGUGGAGUAACCAACACCAGCUUUGCUACGUUCGCACCCUCGCGAGCCAACGCUGCCACGCCACUUCGCAUGGCCGCCACACGGACUCGCGCCACGUGACAGAGCCAAAAUAUAAGUAGAGUCGGCACCGAGCUAGGGUUAGGGUAGACACUAGACGACUACACCCGGCUGAUGAGUCCCAAAAAGGACGAAACCGGUCUCGGGUUGUCUCUUGUCCUCUCCCUCGCUCACGAAUGAAUGAAAAUUCAUUCCCUCGCCUCCUCUACUUGCUCUCGAUCACGCCGUUUCGACAACGGCACACGGAGAAUGUGGAUUGCACAAAGUGGUGCCGCGACCUCGCCGGAUUGCAGCACCGCGGGGUGUCUUUGACCCUAAACGCCUAAACGCGCCUAAAUCCUAAAC
rnacentral:lncRNA from 1 species